CUCUGUAUAAAUUGGAUCCCUGUUGAACUUGAGCCCUGUGCAUAAUAAUUAUACUUGAUUAAAUAUACUGCUUUGCAUUUUGAAUAACAUUAUUUCUAGUCUGUUAUUUUCAUCUCUUUAACUAGAUUGUAAAUUUCUGAAGGGAAAGAAUCUUGCCUUAUGCUUCUCUUGGAUUCCUAUACUUGAAGUGCUGUAGCACAGUGCUGCUCACAUAGCUGAUCAUAACUCACUAAAUAGUUGGUCCGUAUUUCAAAGAGAUGUCAUAUCCGACAGAGCAGAUGCUGUAACCUAGAAGCAGGCAUAAUGACUCAAAUUUCUCUAUAGGCUUCUGAGAGGAAAAGCCUGGAUUUUGUGUUGUCUUUUCCAGCAUAGAUGUCAAGAAGUAAAGGAUGGUGCAUUACGCAAUCACAGACUUGAUCAUAUUCUGGAAAUAUUUUUCUGAUUGCAUCUGUUUUAGGAUAUUUCUUUACUGGGACAAAUGCACGUCAGAUCAGCUGAGAUACAAGCAGAAACACCUCAGAUACAAGUAGAACAAGGAUUACCGAUAAGUGUUGAGGAGCCUCAAGUGAAUAUGCUUAAGGAGCUUCCUGAAGCCACGUCAAGUGUGUUCCAGAUUGAACAAGAGGAUAUAGAAUGGGAAGCCUCAGAAGCAGAAGGCAUAGUAUUGAAACCUCAGGAAAUUUUGGAAGUUCAGCCAGCAGUGGAAUUAAGUAAACCUUUGGAAGAUGGACAGCCCAAAAGUGAUGCAAAAGCUGCCAAGCACGUGACUUUAAAGGUGAAAUCAUUAGAAUUCUUGGAAAUAAAAGGAAAAGAAGUUAAGCGAAUACGAAAAGCUGUAUCAGGGAUUUCACCACCGAGACCAAGAAAGUGUUUAAAACCCCCUUGGGAUCCAAAACUAAAUAAUAAAAUUCCAUACAACUACUCCACUCCUAACCUUCAUGAUCUGUGCACCACUAUCCCAUCCCGGGAAUUGCCCAUUGACUUGCGCCUGGCUUCUCGAGUGUAUCACACUGCUGAUAAGAAAGGCCACGAUACCCUACUUGGAGUAUUUGGAACAUCUUUCAUAAAUGAUCGCUUUUCAGAUGAAGAGCAAAAGGAUAGAAUACUGCAUGGAAUUCCUGUUGUGGCUAACAAGCAAGAAUAUGUUCAUGUUCCUCCAAUACUACCAGGAAUACCACCUGAAUUGGUACAAAGAACUGGAAAGCAUGCUCGCAGACCACCACACUUGCAAGUUUGGGGAGAGGAAAUGUAUGCUUAUCCAGGAUGUACGAAGUUGUUUUGGAAUACAACUGCUCCUAAAUUCUCUCUUCCAGAAACUGUCAUGAAGGAAACCGUAUAUCCAAAAUAUGAGGUAACAUACUGAAUGAGUUUUCUCUAUUAUUGUUAUUAUCAUUUAAUAAUUAAAUUGUAUAAUUGAUUAUGAAAUUCAAUUUUACUGGACAGCUGUUAUGAAGAUUGUCAGGCAACUAUUUCAAUAAUCAGGAUUGAUUGGAUGGCAC
rnacentral:lncRNA from 1 species